GAGGCAUUUUCUCAGCUGAGGUUCCCUCCUUUCCGGCGAUCCUAGCUUGUGUCCAGUUGACAUAAACCAGCCGGCACAGCUUCCAUCCUGAGUACCUAUUCAGCCAGCUACCAUGGUUACCACAGUGCCUGACAGGGAGGAGGUCAGAGCCAGAGAUGUGGGAUGCUGACUCCGAGACCGAGAUUUGAACUGACAGAAGCUGAUGGGACAGGAGAGCUGGUUGGUCCCCUUGAAACAUUUCUAGGAUUAAAAAAAUAAAAGGCUCGUAACCAUG
ensembl:lincRNA 1810063I02Rik RIKEN cDNA 1810063I02 gene